UACGGGGGGGGCAAGCGUUGUUCGGAAUUACUGGGCGUAAAGCGUGCGCAGGCGGUUCGGCAAGUCAGGUGUGAAAUCCCCGGGCUUAACCUGGGAAUUGCGCUUGAAACUAGCGGGCUUGAGUGUGGCAGAGGGGGGUGGAAUUCCACGUGUAGCAGUGAAAUGCGUAGAGAUGUGGAGGAACACCGAUGGCGAAGGCAGCCCCCUGGGUCAACACUGACGCUCAUGCACGGAAGCGUGGGGAGCAAACAGG
rnacentral:rRNA from 1 species